rnacentral:lncRNA from 1 species
CGAACUACCUGUGACAAGGGACAGUGCCUUACAUGUAUAAAGCACUUGACUUCCCAUUUCUCAAGGAUUAGCACCCAGCAGUGUGCGGUGAUGUUUGUCCUUCCAUGACUAUGACUUUCUGCAGUGGUUGCAUUGCACUGUGGCCACAGAGCUGUGCAAAAAACACAAAAGACUUGCCUAUAGGAGCCAGAAUAUAUGUAGGAGUUGGAUCUUCACUUUGGAACUUCGUGUCGGAAGAGGUCUGUUGGGAUAGUAAAUUGAAUCAACCUACUUUGCAAUUGGACAAGUGCUGGUGUCAGCCCAAGGG